GGGAUGAGCUCAAAUUUGUAAUCUGGCGGCCUCUGGUCGUCCGAGUUGUAGUCUGGAGAAGCGUUUUCCGCGUCGGACCGUGUACAAGUCCCUUGGAACAGGGCGUCGUAGAGGGUGAGAAUCCCGUCUUUGACACGGACUGCCGAUGCUUUGUGAUGCGCUCUCGAAGAGUCGAGUUGUUUGGGAAUGCAGCUCAAAACGGGUGGUAAAUUCCAUCUAAAGCUAAAUAUGGGCGAAAGACCGAUAGCGAACAAGUACCGUGAGGGAAAGAUGAAAAGCACUUUGGAAAGAGAGUUAAACAGUACGUGAAAUUGUUGAAAGGGAAACGCUUGAAGUCAGUCGCGUCUCCUGGGACUCAGCCUUGCUUCUGCUUGGUGUACUUCCUGGGACGACGGGCCAGCAUCGAUUUUGAUCGUCGGAGAAAGGCCUUGGGAACGUGGCACCUUUGGGUGUGUUAUAGCCCUUGGUCGUAUGCGACGGUUGGGAUCGAGGACCGCAGCACGCCUUUUUGGCCGGGGUUCGCCCACGUACGUGCUUAGGAUGCUGGCGUAAUGGCUUUAAGCGACCCGUCUUGAAACACGGACCAAGGAGUCUAACAUGCCUGCGAGUGUUUGGGUGGUAAACCCGGACGCGAAAUGAAAGUGAAAAGUUGGGACCUCUGUCGUGGAGGGCACCGACGCCCGGACCAGACCUUCUGUGACGGUUCCGAGGUAGAGCAUGCAUGCUGGGACCCGAAAGAUGGUGAACUAUGCUUGAGUAGGGUGAAGCCAGAGGAAACUCUG
rnacentral:rRNA from 1 species